rnacentral:misc_RNA from 1 species
GAUGAAGAACGUAGCGAAAUGCGAUACGUAAUGUGAAUUGCAGAAUUCAGUGAAUCAUCGAAUCUUUGAACGCAUAUUGCGCUCUCUGGUAUUCCGGAGAGCAUGCUUGUUUGAGUAUCAGUAAACACCUCAACUUCCAUAUCUUUUUUGAAAUGGGAGUUGGACUUGAGUGAUCCCAACGCUUUUCCUCACCGAAAAGUGGCGGGUUACUUGAAAUGCAGGUGCAGCUGGACUUUUCUCUGAGCUAUAAGCAUAUCUAUUUAGUCUGCCUAAAAAACAGAUUAUUACCUUUGCUGCAGCUAACAUAAAGGAGAUUAGUUCUUGUGCUGACUGAUGCAGGAUUCACAAAGACGGCUUCGGCCGACUUUGUAAACUCGAUCUCAACUCAAGUAAGACUACCCGCUGAACUUAAGCAUAUCAAUAAGCGGAGGA